rnacentral:rRNA from 1 species
GAUUUAUCGGUGCAGGAUGGGCCCGCGGCCUAUCAGCUUGUUGGUGGGGUAAUGGCCUACCAAGGCGACGACGGGUAGCCGACCUGAGAGGGUGACCGGCCACACUGGGACUGAGACACGGCCCAGACUCCUACGGGAGGCAGCAGUGGGGAAUAUUGCACAAUGGGCGGAAGCCUGAUGCAGCGACGCCGCGUGAGGGAUGAAGGCCUUCGGGUUGUAAACCUCUUUCAGCAGGGACGAAGCGUGAGUGACGGUACCUGCAGAAGAAGCACCGGCUAACUACGUGCCAGCAGCCGCGGUAAUACGUAGGGUGCGAGCGUUGUCCGGAAUUACUGGGCGUAAAGAGUUCGUAGGCGGUUUGUCGCGUCGUUUGUGAAAACCCGGGGCUCAACUUCGGGCUUGCAGGCGAUACGGGCAGACUUGAGUGUUUCAGGGGAGACUGGAAUUCCUGGUGUAGCGGUGAAAUGCGCAGAUAUCAGGAGGAACACCGGUGGCGAAGGCGGGUCUCUGGGAAACAACUGACGCUGAGGAACGAAAGCGUGGGUAGCAAACAGGAUUAGAUACCCUGGUAGUCCACGCCGUAAACGGUGGGCGCUAGGUGUGGGUUCCUUCCACGGGAUCUGUGCCGUAGCUAACGCAUUAAGCGCCCCGCCUGGGGAGUACGGCCGCAAGGCUAAAACUCAAGGAAUUGACGGGGGCCCGCACAAGCGGCGGAGCAUGUGGAUUAAUUCGAUGCAACGCGAAGAACCUUACCUGGGUUUGACAUACACCGGAAAACCGUAGAGAUACGGUCCCCCUUGUGGUCGGUGUACAGGUGGUGCAUGG